rnacentral:sRNA from 1 species
UGGAAUCGUUCAAUGAGUCCGUUACAGGC